GUGCUCGCUUCAGCAGCACAUAUACUACAAUUGGAAUGAUUAAAAUUGGAGAUUAGUCGGGCCCCUGUGCAAGAAUAACAGGCAAAUUAGUGAAACUUUCUAUAUUUUU